CCCCCCAAGAAUGAGUCCCUGUCACCUGGGAGCUGGCCUGCAGGACACCAGCUGCUCUGCCCCAUGGCAACCCGCUGCUUCCACACAGUGGGCUGGAUGAGGACAUGAAGAGACAGAGGCCUACAGCCCUCCAAACCAGAGGCAACAGGUCACCCAUUCAUCCACUACUGCAGCCACUGGCAAUAUGGUAUUAUGAUGUGGGUAUGAUAUGUUCUCUCCAAACGGGCCGUGUUGAAGGUUUGGUCCCCAGCUGACAGACCAUGGGGGCGCCCACUUCAUCUCCUGCUCAAUUCAUUGUGUUUGGUUUGGAUCGGAGACAGGGUCUCUACCCGAGCUCCUGCUCAAUUCAUUGUGUUUGGUUUGGAUCGGAGACAGGGUCUCUACCCGAGCUGGCCUCACUGAUACAGGAGAUGAACAACUGAUCUCCUUAGCAACAGCUGAGAGUCACCAUGCCACUUACUGAUGUGCUGGGAUCAAGCCCAGGGCUUCUUGGAUACUGGGCAAGCGCUGAACCAACUGAGCUGGACCCCAGGCCUGACUCGAUCCAGAUGAAUUUAUACUGAAUGCACUUUUAAAGAGAUGAGACCUGAAUAAAAGUCUCUCUGUCUCUC